rnacentral:rRNA from 1 species
CCUACGGGUGGCAGCAGUGAGGAAUAUUGGUCAAUGGGCUUACGCCUGAACCAGCCAAGUCGCGUGAGGGAAGACUGCCCUAUGGGUUGUAAACCUCUUUUGUCAGGGAGCAACGCCGGCUACGUGUAGCCGGACUGAGAGUACCUGAAGAAAAAGCAUCGGCUAACUCCGUUCCAGCAGCCGCGGUAAUACGGAGGAUGCGAGCGUUAUCCGGAUUUAUUGGGUUUAACGGGUGCGUAGGCGGAAUGCCAAGUCAGCGGUAAAAUCGCGGGGCUCAACCUCGCUCCGCCGUUGAAACUGGCGUUCUUGAGUGGGCGAGAAGUAUGCGGAAUGCGUGGUGUAGCGGUGAAAUGCUUAGAUAUCAGGAGGAACAUCGGUGGCGUAAGCGCUUUACUGGGCCGUAAUUGACGCUGAGGAACGAAAGCCAGGGUAGCAAAUGGGAUUAGAUACCCUGGUAGUC